CUGAGUCAAUCCUCUUCUCUGCCCCCCUUUUACAUGGCCUGUAAACAACUUUCCAGAUGGGCUGACAUCUCACUGUUGAUGGAGUGCUUUGGGUGAAUAUCCUUCUGUGUUACUCCAGCAGAAGAGGUGUGUGGUACAACUGCUCUGCUUGCACAGUGGUGUGUGGGAACUUAAAGAUGGACCUAGCUGAUGACACUGUCUGGAAUCCAAAUGGAAAGAACCAGAGAAUGCAACUUUUUGUCCCAGUUUGGAGACACAAGAAAGCAUCUGAACCUCAGCACCUCUCAUUUGACAUCUUUCUGUCCACCAGACACCAUGCUGGAGCUGCUCCUACUUGCAAUUAAGGUGAAGACUGUAUCUUUUCAAGGUUUAGACAACUGAAAUUCCCUCCUUGCUGUGCUUGUAUGUAUUAUAUAAAUCUUACUCAUAGAGCCACUUAUCCAGAUUUUUCCAGAAUUGCUUCUCAUAAAAACAGUAUUUGUAAGUUACUUUUGAAGUUAUUUUUGGGAUGAAGCCAUAUGGAGCAGCAUUAAUUGUCACUGCUCCAAAUUACCAGGGAUAUUUGGGACUUUCUGUCAAAACAGUGGAAAAUGAAGCCAUUGCAGGUGUCCAUACAAACAUCCCUGGCACUUUGUUCCACAGCCCCUGCACGGUCCCAGGGAAGAUAAGCACAUAUCUGGGCACAAUUGCCAAUGCCAGGACUCACACAGAUCACACCUGAAUAUUCAUGUUUCUGAAAGCACGUAAAGAAAUCCAAUGUUGUUGCCAGCUUUGCUACUGUCUCAUACAUAAAGCUUUCAGAAAAGAAAAAGAUAGCUGAAAAUGGGCCAAUUACAAGUGCAGAGUUAACCACAUAUUAGCAUUAAUCCCUUACUAACUGUUCAAAGGCAUAUGGAAGCAUGUAUUUAUAUCAGCCUAAAUAUGAUCAGUGUUACAUCAUUUUCAGUACAAACAGUCUGAAACAUUUUUUUCUUAAUUUCUAGAUAUGUGUCCCACAAAUCUGUCUAGACUCGUCAUUGCUUGGAUGUUCUCAGUGGAAAUCAAGUGUCUUGUCCUGGGGAUAGCCGCUGUUUUAAAAGUGAUAGAUGAGGGGUUAUCAUAUCUAACGGUGAAUCUCAAAAAUUGUUUUGGUCUCCUCAGUUGUUUGAAUAACAAAAUUGCAAUUUGGAAACCAGUCUCUGAAAUAUAAAUAAUUGAGGUCUGUGUGGAAGGCAGCAAAUAGUCUACACAUUGAAAUUAGUCUGGCUGCAAUAUUGUAAAUGAUGCUACAGUGACAUCAGAAAUACACAUGGCUGGUUUAUCAUGUUCGAUGACACCUAUUUAAAAUAUGCCAGGAAAAACAAAAAUGUAAACUAAUUCUGUUUCUAGACAUAACCAUUUUUUUCUUAGGCAUGCUAAUAAUCAAGACCAUACAGGUGCUUAGGAAGUCAGAUUAAAAGUCAGUUUGCAACUGAACAACGAAGUCUCUGCAGAUUCAUUCAUGUCAGCAAUUCUUCAUUAUGGACCCACUUUAACAUUCAUCCAUGAGACAGAGAGGAUGAAUCCUGCAGAAGAAGGUGAGGUACAGUGACACACUGUAUAAGGGACGAUGCCCUACCCUGGAUUAACUACAGUAUAUCUUCAAAGAUAUAUAUCUUCAACUUCAUCACUUCUGGAUCCAGUCUUUUCAGUCUUGAUAGCUCUGAAAAUUCUCAGCAUCUUCUUCUUCCAGUCAAGAGGCUGGCAGGUGUUUAACCAUCUGGGUUACAGAGUGAGACCAUUUCACACAUUUGAUUAUUACGAUAUUGUAAUACAUCACGUUAAAAUCUUCAGAUAGAAACAAAUCCACAUAUGAUGCACACACAGCUCCAAAAAGUGGCUUUCAGCAAGUACCAGAUCUUGGUCUGUAUGCAUCACUAAGAAUUUUAUCAACCACCAACUUCUGCAGGCCACAGAUAAAUACAAAGAAAUUUAGAAUAUUUAGAAAUAUUGAAUAGUUUGUGUUAGAAGGGACUGCCCAGGUACAGAGGGGAUGGACACCCACCACUUGAGGCCACAAGCUGGGUGUUGAACAAGAUAAGGGAAAAGGCAGGCAAGAGACAAAUCCUGCAAGGUGGGAUAGUGCUUUUUAUCUUGUCGAUGUCCUUGUAUAAGGGGCUCAGGUGUGAAAACUCCCCUCUGGAAGAGUGAACUACUGGGACAUUCUCAGGUAAGCCUGAAGAUAUUCCUCCCUUCAGAUGGGCCAUAAUCAAUUCAACCAUGCUGAUGUAAGAGGCUGCAGCUGCUGGACGAGCCUUGAUCUGUGCUGCCUCUCCUGCUGAUGCCCUGCAGUGUUUUGGUGCCAGUGACAGACUCUGGGCACCAGAGUUAAUUAGCACAAGGUCCUUUUUCGUGCUCCAUCUGAAGAGAACAUCCAUGGCAAGAGGCAGCUAUAACAUCUUAGAAGGUAUCAAAGAUUCCCAAAAUGUCCCAUGAGUCACAGUAUUACAUCAUCCAAUGUAAAACUCCCUGGCGUUCCCACCUAGCCUGAGUGUAUGUUAACCCAACAGAUUUCACGUUUUGUGGGCUUCCCCCACCCCCAACAGGUCAAGACUGCAACCAUCACUUCAACGAACAAACGUCGAAAUUGCAACAACCAAGUCUCAUGGCUGGAUCCAAGGGUGGUGAUUAUGUACCUUUCUCCUCUUAUUCUUUCUUUCUUUUACCUUAUGCAUUUUCUUAAGUGUUAUUUUGAUGCUUUUGUAUUGCUACAUUUCUAAAAAAAACCAGCUGUAUUUUAAAAUAUAUAUAAUAAGCCAG